ensembl:lncRNA
AUAAAAUCAUUUGUUUAAAAUUGCUCUAGUACUAUUAGCCCGUUCUCAAUGGGCAGUAACUGUAAGCAAGGCAUACAUGCUUGCUGACAUAUCUGUAUUUUAUUUUAUUUUUUUCUUCAAAUCAUUCAGUCGCCUUUCAGGUCUGUGCAUCUAGAUAACGACCCAAGUGCGCGUGAAACGUAAGGAGUGUAUCGCGUGGCUGAGGCACUUGACCCUUCUCUCUGGUAUACAAUAUCUAACUGGUUAUCGGCUUAUCAAGGUUCAUAAUUAAUGAAUAGAAACAAAAGUUAUGUUUUGUUGACCUGCAGCGAUAGCAACCGGAUUGAAUCUAGUUUACACUCGUGCGAUUAAAUAACAGGCACAAGCAGCGGGGCACUAAUGAGAUAACCUAGUUAACUACACCACUGUUUUCACUUCAGCUUAACACUAUUUGUUUUUGGAUGUUUAUCUUACGCCUAGCAUGCAAUCGGUCGUAAAUAAACAAAUGUGUUUCUCUAAGGAAAGAUUUGAGGUGUGUGGCCCUUUCAUUCAAAGAUUAACUAACAAUUAGUCUAUAGUGUUAAAAAAAAAAAAAAAAAAAAAUUCCAAACGUGCAUUAACCUCCACUUUACAUUUCACUUAUUAUAUUCUUCUGGUUAUGUCAUUUGGAACAUUUACAUGAUUUCAUUAAUUAUAUUUGACUUAAAGAUAAAAUAAAGUCGUAAAGAUUAUUAAACGCAAUAUUGUUGCAUUAUUAUUUUAGCCUAGUAGCCUAGAUGUCACAACUUUUUACAGUAUUCAGCAAUGAAACGGAAAACGAAAUUGUUGCAUUGGUGAGUCAUCCCUCAAUCUAAAGCAGUUUUUAUUUAUUUUUUCUUCUUUCUGUUUGUAGGAGCGGUUGCAGUGAUUUUGUGCAAGAUCAAGCAGCAGACGUGCCGGCUUCAGCUGCUGCGUGUGUUGGUUUCUCUGCGGAGAGAGGAAACCAGACCACAGAGGCUGAGGAUGAGGCCCCGGGGAGGAGGCCCCUGUCUUGAAGUUAGGAGCUUUCUGUGGGGAAGAGGAGUCGCAGAGGUACGAGCUCGUAAUUGAGAUGUGAAAAGAGUCUGUCACUGUUUAGGUUGUACGACAUCAGUGGAAACGUCUGGCCGAUAACCAAUAGAGAGGAAAAAAUUCUUAAAUGAGAUCCCAAUUGUUUCUCCUUGACACCAGUGAGAUUUAAUGGAGAGCAAAAUUAAGUCUUCUGCCUCUCCGGUUUUUCUCCUGAGAAAAAAAAAGUUUUUUUCCCCCCUCAUCUG